GUCGUGAUCAUUUUGGUUAUCAAUUUCGCAGAUGGCUGGCUGAUAUGAAUGAUAAGAUUGAUUAUUACAUUGCUGACACUCAUAAGUACUCUGUUUUUGAUAUUCUGUCACAAAGUUUUUGCUCGUGUAGUUUUCCUCAUGCAUUUAAAAAAGAAAGUAUAUAAUGUCACGAAACCAAAAACCGUUGACCCUUCCGAACAAGAUACGAUGGGUAGGAACCUAGAUAAGUUCAUCCUUCUCAUGUGGAAAAAUUGGGUUCUUCAAUAUCGCAAACCAAUUCAAACUUUAAUAGAAAUCGUAACACCGGUUUUGUUUUGUAUAAUAUUGGUGAUAAUAAGAGGUCUCUCCGACCCAGAGUUACGAAAGGACCAAAUAUAUCCACCAUUCUCACCAAUCCCAAAUAAGGAUCAAAUAGUUUCACUAUUUCGUGCUUCUGAUGACAAACUGUAUGG